GCGGAGUGGUCGAGCAGGCACAUAGAAUUGAGUCAUGUCCUGCAAGUAGAUGGGGGCUGUCUUGUUGGUGGCAGUGUAGGCAAGGGUCAGGGCUUUGAAUCGGAUCCUGGCAGCAACCGGUAGCCAGUGAAGUGAUCGCAGCAGAGGAGUGACGUGGGAGAAUUUGGGGAGGUUGUAGAUGAGCCGGGCAGCGGCAUUCUGAAUCAUCUGUAGUGGCUGUAUGGCACAAGCUGGCAGGUUUGCAAGGAGAGAGUUGCAGUAAUCAAGGCGAGAGGUCACCGUAGCCUGGACGAGCAGCUGGGUGGAGUGCGUCGUCAGGUAUGGUCGAAUCCUCCUGAUGUUGUAUAGGAGGAAUCUGCAGGACCUUGAUGUUGCCUUGAUGUGCUCCUUGAGGUCCAGUUGGUCAUCCAGGACCACCCCCAAGCUCUUGGCAGAGUGAGAGGCAGUCACUGUGGUGCCAUCAACCGUGAUUGAGAGUUCACGAAGCAAGGAGGUCUUGUACGGGAAAAAGAGCAGCUCAGUUUUGUUGAGGUUGAGCUUCAGAUGGUGGCUGGCCAUCCAGGUGGAGAUGUCAGCCAGGCAGGAAGAGAUCUUAUCAUUGACCAGUGUGGCCGAGGGGGGGGAAAGAAAAGAAGAGUUGUGUGUCAUCUGCAUAACAAUGAUAGGAAAAACCAUGUGAAUUAAUGACUGAACCAAGAGAUCUGGUGUAUAAGGAGAACAGCAGAGGACCCAGUACAGAUCCCUGCGGCACUCCCGUAACAUGUGGAUGAGAAGCAGAGGCAGACCCCUUCCAGGUGACCUGGUAGGUCCUAUCUGCAAGAUAGGAAGCGAACCAAGACAGGGCAGUCCCGGCAAUUCCCAUCCCAGCCAAGGUGGAGAGGAGUAUUUUAUGGUUGACCGUGUCAAAAGCUGCAGACAGGUCAAGAAGGAUCAGGACAGAGGAAAGGCGUGAGGCUCUUGCAGUGGCAAGUGCCUCCGUCACAGCUAGGAGUGCAGUCUCUGUUGAGUGCCCAGAUCGGAAGCCAGACUGGUGAGGGUCUAGCAGGUUGUUCUGAUGGAGAAAAGAGGUUAAUUGUUUAAGAACUGCUCGUUCGAGGGUUUUGGACAGAAAGGGUAGAAGGGAUACGGGUCGAUAGUUUGCUACAUCGGAGGGGACAACAACAUGUUACAUCUUAAACGGAUGAAUAUUGACUGAAAUACAAGGUAAAACGUUUCGUAAAAUAUUUUGACUGGAUUUUUUUAAAUGGAGGAAAUUAACACAUACAGCUGAAACUACAGGUUCCAAGCUUCAUUUUGAUGUAUAGGUUGCGGUGUUUGAAAGAAAUCCAACUGCCACACCAGGAUUUUGUCUCGCUAGCUCCCGCACCUGACGAUGUCUCCUCGAUGCGAGAGUUUCCCUGAGUGAUAGCCGGGAAUGGUCAGCUCUCAGCCCGCUGCCUGCUGUGCGCUACCUCGGUGGGGGCGACUAAAGAAUAUAGCGAACACUUUUGUGUAGUAACUGAAACGACUAGUUAGUGAAAUCAAAGUCCUAUGUUGCAAACAGAAUGGGCAUUUUUAUCUUGUGGCCACCCACAAUGAUAUAAAUCGAUUUGAAGAAACAUAAUGGCUGACGCACAGAACUUAUUUAUUAAACGUUUUGCAGCGCAGUGGCUCAAAGUUUAUUAGUGUGUGUGCUGGAGUUGCAUAUACAGCUAGCAACCCCCCGGAUUCGGAUACAUCCCUACUAGGUAGUAUGCAUCAGUGUACAAGGAGGCCACUGUCUUUCCUUAGUUACACAUUCUUAGACAACACAGAAUACCUGCUCUUCUUCAUUGAUCUUCCCAUAAUCACAUACAUUUAAAUAUAUUCUUGAUCAGUACAAUCUUUAAUAAGAAGAAAUGUAAAAACAUUAAAAGAAUGAAGGAGAAGCAUAUUUCCGCAUUCACCACAGCGGUUCCUCCGGCCGAACGGGCGCCUGCGGUCUUCCUGUUCGGGCUGCUUGUGUCCUGUUCUCACGGCACGUCCUCCGUGCGGCCUCAGACCAAGGGGUGUCCAGAUACUUGUAGGUAAUGUAGUGCAGCAUCUUUCAACUGUCAACUCCAUUACUAUGUACUCUGCACAAUAAUAUUCACUUUUCUAUGCUACAGUGAUUGAGUCAAGUGGUGGGUGACCCCCAUGUGCAAUGUCCUGGGGCCUCAUUUAUAAAACGGACUUACAUCAGUUUUGAUCUUGUAUGACUUGUAUGAUAAGUAUGACUCAUGCAGAAAACCUUACUUGGACAUGGAACUGAUCUUAUCUUUACGCAAAGUCUAGACUUGACGCAAGUGAUUUUUCUGCAUGGCUAUUUUUUCCCCCUUGCAGUUUAAGGUCAGACCAUUUCUUUUUCAGAUCACCCACAGUUCUGUCUCUCCUGGCCCACCUCGUUCACUGCAGCAGCGACACACUCCCAAGCUACCUGUUUUGCUUUGUUUGUCAACCCACUAUUUAGUCCACCCAAUAGUACGCGUUGCCUGUCUUCAAUCUUCUCUACCAUCUCUAUGAUCGCGUCUUCCAAAAAGUUUGCUUUUCUCUUUUGGUCCAUGGUUAUUCCUGACUAAACCCUAAUUUCUGCUAGCCUUAUAUAAGGGGAAAUUGCUGAUUGUAAGGCACAUUCAGGUGCCAUCAAUUUUAAGUUAAUUUGAGAUUUAUAGAUCACAGAUGCGUAAGUUACAAAUGGGCUUCUUUGAACCUGCGUAAGCAAGGUUUUUUAUGCUCAAUAUCUUUUAUGAAUCGUACAUAAGCACACCGUCGGAAAUUAUCUUAAGACUAAGUUAAAGUAUAAAUCUAAGAACAUUUUUAUAAAUGAGGCCCCUGCCCUGGUGUUGGAUGUGUUUUCGUGGAAAUGUGACUAAUAACAUUUCAGUCAAAUAUUAUGAAACUGGAAAGCCCUGUGGUUUUUGGUAGUUAUUUGCAGAAGUUAGCUGUCUAGCAGGGUUCAUCCUGCAGUUAUUAAUAGGCCACAGGCAUUUUUGGAAGUCAGGCAGUUUACAUGCACAGUUGAAAUCGAUCUAUAUGAAUAGCUUGAUUUGGCCAAAGAUGAGAUUUAAUUUGACUAUUCCAUAUUGUCCCAAUAUACAUGACUUGGAGAAUGGAUUUAUUGAUUGAUGUGUGUAUGACGAAGACUUUCUUCCGGUUAACCUUUUAAAACCUGCUUCCUCCAAUUUUGUCGCAACUUUUUUGAAUAGUUCGCCAUUCUGUGUUUUUCUUCCAUUCAUGUAUUUUAGGAUAUUUAACUCAUUUAGUUGCGAUAGCAUGAAGUUGGUCUCCUUGUCUGUCCAGAAAUGUGUGUUUUUCGCCAUGAUACCUCCUUGACUGUGCGCUCGCUGUUCGACUUCUGGGUUAAUUACCUGUCACAGUGGAACCUCUAACCUAUGGAACAUGCGCAGAACGCCUAGGCCAAUUUUUGGCCUAUUGAAGCGUAUAUAUGCCAUAGUAAAUUGACCCCCAACCACAUUAUCUAGGUAUGUUAGUCCGACUUAGUACGAUUUCAGUCGGACUAAAAUGUUUACAUGAGUUUACAAGUCCAGUUUUAGCCAAACUAAAACAAUAAACCUACUGAGUGUCUCUAAUGUGUUUUAUUCUUUCUCUUUAUUCACAGGGCUUAUACAAGGAGUAUCAUUCUCCAUACUACCCAAUGUGCCUGCCCAAUUUGAUUUUGUUUUUCUUUUUACUUGAAUAUAUUUUCAUCAUAUUUCAUUACAUGUUGUUUUUUGGAUCAUAUGACCUUUAUGUAUAUUUACAGAAAAUAUAAUAUUGUUUAAAAAUUGGUCAGAGUUUCUGCCAACUGUACUGCAGGCCACAUAUUUAGUUCUAGAUCUAGUUUUAAACCCUGACCAAUAUAUAAAUAAUUAUUUCUCAUGGCAAUUAUAAAGUGGCACCCAAGUGUGGGACAUUCUUAUUUUAUUAUUUUCUGCUUUUUAAGUAACUGUUUUCUUGACAGGUGCCCAUUAUGAUAGAGAUCAAGGUGGUUUCCAAAAUUGGCACCCAGAGUUGUUUUGGAUGUUUAUCUCUGGCAUUGAAAAUGUGAGUACCGUAUGGAUUAAAUCUCCAAAUAAAAAAUAGUUUGGUAGCUUGUCUUGUUUUUACAGAAAAAUCUCAUACUCUGGGAGAUGGGUCGUAUUUAUUGCAGUCAGAUGCUUUUUCCUGGAUUUACUGAGCACACAUUUACAUUUAAAUCCAUGUUCAAAUACACAUGUACAGUUGUGCACCAGUUCUAUUGAUGCCCAUCAUGGCAACAGUAUAAGCCAUUUUUAAUGCAGUGUGGUCAUGUUUCUGUCACAUUUAUCCAUGGCUGUCCUUGGAAGUGGCGUGAAGAAGUAUUUGCCCUCUUUCUGGUUUCUUUUUUCAUUGCAAAUUUGUCACACUGAAUUGUUUCAGGUCUUAAGACAAAAUGUAAUAUUAGACAAAGGGAACCCGAGUAAACACAAAACAUGUUAAAAAAUGUAUUUCAUUUAUUUAAUGAAAAAGUUUUCAAACACCCAUGUUUAAAGUUUUUCUCAAUAAGCCUUGUACAUAUUCCUUAAUCCUUCCAUGAAUGAUAUGAAUGCAAUGCAAUUGCAACUCUCCCAACUACACAUAUUCCUAGAUUGUUUUAAGUAUAUAUAAUUUAGCAAAAAUAUAAUAUAAUAUAUAUAA